CGGACGUCGUCACGUUGACGCAUGGACGUCUUGUUUGCUGCUGCUGCGCGGGAGUUUCAUUUUUGUGCCUUAUUUUGUUUACACAGCUACUUUUAACCGUCAAAAUGCAUCUUUUCUUUCUGAAGUAACCCAUCUGAUACUCCUCUUAAUCACUUUACACCAGAGACAGUGACAUCCUCCAUUGGACACAGAAUGGCUGCGGCUCCAGUGGAGUACACCAUAGGAGGGGUGAAAAUAAACUUUCCCUGCAAAGCUUAUCCUUCUCAGCUGGCCAUGAUGAACUCGAUCAUUCGUGGACUUAACAAUGGGCAGCACUGUCUGUUGGAGAGCCCUACUGGCAGUGGGAAGAGUCUUGCUUUGCUUUGUUCAGCGCUCGCAUGGCAGCAAGCACAGUUUGGUAAAGAACAGGAUGCAGGUUCUAGUUCAGCUGACUGUAAGAAACCAGCAGUGGCUACUCCAUGUCAGUGUGCGUGCCAUAACCAAAAUGCACACCCCACUUCCAGCAGCACAGCAUCUAAACCACCUCUGGUUGAUCUUCCAUGUGAAGGUACUUCUGUUCAAGCUACAACCCCUCUCUCAAAAGAAGCAGUCAAAAGUGACCAGUCUAGAAAGUCCACUUUGUCUUCCCGUCUCUCUGAGAAACUUCAGGUCUCUCUCUCCAAUGGAGAACAAGAUGAUGAUUUUAAAAUUGACAGGAAGCGCAUUCGUACACCAAGCACAGAGCAGAAGAGCAGCAAGCGAAGAUGUUUCGAGCGAGGAGUGAUUUACAUUGAUGAUGAUGAUGAUGAAGAGGCGAAGCAUCUGGAGAGACUGGUGCCCGGGGCUCAGAGUUGGACCAUGGAAUUGAACAGUGGUGCCAGAGCUGACAGCUGCCAGUCGCAGCCACAGUGUUGUUCUCCCGUGUCUUGUUCACUCUGUCCUUGCGCCAACCUCAAAGCAGGACAGAAAAUGGUUGAAAAGUCCAAGGACAGUGAUAAAGACAAAGAGGGAAGCGGAAGGAAAAAGAUCCCAAAGAUCUUCUUUGGCACUCGUACUCAUAAGCAGAUCACACAGAUCGCACGGGAGCUUAAACGAACGCUUUACUCCACUGUGCCCAUGACGAUACUGUCCAGCCGAGACCACACCUGUGUCCAUCCCGAAGUGGUGCCUCAUGCCAACCGCAACGAGCGCUGUAAGGAGCUGCUGGAUGCCAAGAACGGUCUGUCAUGUCGGUACUACCACAAUGUGCAUAAAAUGCGUGAUCAGAACACUUUACAGUGGGUUCAUGGGCUACAUCAGGCCUGGGACAUUGAGGAUCUGGUCCGUCUUGGCGGUAAGCUGCGGUCCUGUGCUUACUAUGCAGCUCGGGAGCUCAUGCAAGAUGCUUGCAUCGUGUUCUGUCCUUACAACUACCUGCUGGAUCCCCUUAUUCGUGAAAGUAUGGAAAUCAAUCUGAAGGAGCAGAUUGUGGUGCUAGAUGAGGCUCAUAACAUAGAGGACUGUGCCCGUGAGAGUGCCAGUUACACUCUGAAUCAAGCUCAGCUGUUGCUGGCGCGUGAUGAGAUGGAUGGAAUGGUGACACACAACAUUCGGCGCGAUCAACAUAGGCCUCUGCUAGCCUUCUGCUGCAGCCUUGCCAAUUGGGUGCAGGAAAGCUGCAAUAGCUUGGAGGAGCGUGAAUAUGAGUCUUCCUGUAAGGUCUGGACAGGGGCCGAGAUUCUUGGCAUCUUCCAUGGCCUUGGCAUCACUGCAGACACCUUCUCUUUGCUACAGAAAAACCUGGCAGCAGUGCUGGAGAAGGAGGAGCGGAUUGGGCUAGUGAACGGGAGAGAAGACGUGGUGCAGGUUCCCACCAUCAGCUCCAACACUCAGUCAAUGCUCAAAAGCCUCUUUAUGGUGCUGGAAUUUCUUUUCAGACAAAAUUGCAGGUUUGCAGAUGAUUACCGUGUGGCCCUCCAGCAGAGCUACAUGUGGACCACCCAGCAGGACCUGCCUGACGCUCAGGGCUUUUUUGCACGACCCCAGCGUCGCCGACAGAGCACCCGCACCAAAACUCUGGUGCACACCCUGAGCUUUUGGUGCCUCAACCCUGCUGUGGCAUUUUCAGACCUGAGCGGCACAGUACGGAGUAUCGUGCUGACCUCGGGCACCCUGUCACCCAUGGGCUCCUUUUCCUCUGAACUGGGCAUCAGAUUCUCCAUCCAGCUGGAGGCGAAUCAUGUCAUCAGCAAGUCACAGGUCUGGGUCGGUACAGUUGGUGCAGGGCCUCAGGGUCGUAAACUUUGUGCCACAUUUCAGCAUGCAGAGACAUUUGCCUUCCAGGAUGAAGUAGGGGCCCUGCUGUUGAAAGUCUGCCACACAGUGAGCCGAGGGGUUCUCUGCUUCCUGCCAUCCUACAAGAUGUUAGAUAAACUGAGGGACCGCUGGAUGAACACAGGUCUGUGGGACAAGCUCGAGGAGCGGAAGACUGUAAUUACCGAACCACGUGGUGGUGGCAAGGGUGAUUUUGAUGAGUUGCUGCAGACAUACUACGAGGCCAUCAGAGGAACAGCAGCCAACAGUGAAAACAGAGAUGGAGCACUGCUGGUUGCGGUUUGCAGAGGAAAGGUUAGCGAGGGCUUAGACUUCACUGAUGAUAAUGCCAGAGCAGUGGUCACUAUUGGUAUCCCGUUCCCCAAUAUCAAAGACUUGCAGGUUGAACUAAAGAUGAAAUACAAUGACAAGCAUGCCAAGUCACGAGGGCUUCUGCCUGGUGGGCGCUGGUACGAGAUUCAGGCAUAUCGGGCACUAAACCAGGCACUCGGAAGGUGUAUACGACAUCGAAAUGACUGGGGGGCACUUAUACUGGUUGAUGACCGGUUUAGGACGAACCCAAACAAAUACAUCACAGGCCUGUCAAAGUGGGUGCGUCAGCUAGUGAGGCACCAUGACACCUUCACUGGCGCCAUGCAGUCCCUGGAGUCCUUUUCUCAAGGCCAGCGGGGGGCAGUAGAGACCUUCGAAGAGACACAAUCUCAGGCUGCCCCUCAACACCCCAGCCCUUCCACUGUUACCUCACCCCCUCCUGAGAUAAUCACCCCCCUCAAGCCAUUUGACCAUAGGCUUGCACCGCUGAACCUACACACUGAGGUGCGGGCGGACAACUCUGAGAGCAGGUCUUCUGAAUCAGGUAACAAAAAGAAUAUGCAGCAUCCAUCUGAACCAAGCAGAGAACAUAAUGUCCAAAGGACACCAUGGCCUACAAGCCACCUCUUCGCUUCCACUCCAGUCAGUAGCCAAUUCAAGACUCCUAUUUUUCAAUCCGAGCCAGAUGCAAGUUCAGUGAUCAACAAGCAAGUUAAGCAUGAAGUCAUUUCUGUGGCACCAAAGCACCAAAUAAAUGUUGUUCCUGACUUAAAUGACAGUUCAGUUGAACCUCAACUUGAGCAGGUUUUUGUGAUACCUGCCUCUACUUCAAAGGACACCACCAGCAGAAUGGACAAUGAAGAUACUGAAGAGGAUGAACAAAGUAUCUUCUACAGCCCGGAGCUUUUUGAAGGAGCUGAGGAGGAGAAAGAAGAGACUACAGAGAUGGAGAAAUCUCCAGAAGUCAGCCAUCCUCUCGCUAAUAGCACAGCCAGUGUUCUUUUAGAGGACCUCUUUGGUUCCGAGGAAGGAAAGAGGACAUUGUCUGAAGACCUUGUGAGCAGCACUGUCCCAGACAACACAUUGUUACAGGGUAGUACAGAGCAGACAGGUUUAAACUGCAGGACAGAUGUUGGCGCCAGCAGUAGUCGGUUACGUAGACUCUCCAGAUGUAGGCAGAAAAGGCCCAGCACAUCAGCAGCAUCAGCAGGUCAAAGUUCAGACACAAGCAUCAGGGAGAGAGUGCCAGUGAAGUCCCAAGCUCCACGCAAAUCUAGUUCAAGGCCUCCAACCUCACUUAAACUAGACUUAAACCAGAGAGUGAAAGGCCACAUCCUGAACAGAAAAGAAAGAGAGCAGACACAAAGAGGUAACCAGCAGAAAAUUGUGGAAGCGGAGGCGCCAUCUGCAGAGAGGUUAAAAAGAGAGAGAAGAACUAGUGAAACAGGCACUUGUAUAGCAGUUGAACCUUUGCUUCCUACACCUUUACUGAAUGUAUCAGUACCAAAAGACAGCUUAGAGACCCAAACAGCAGGAAUCAAAGUUCACAGAUCAUAUUCAAGGAAGAACAGGCUCCCAAAGAAGCUUAAAAUGGCAUCUGAGGGCAGACAUUCCCAAACACAGAGUGGUUAUCCAGUCAAUCUGCCUUUGUGAAUGAAUUUGAACUGGAGUCUUUAACCAAGUUACAGAAUCCAAGUUAUUCUUCUAUCUUUGACUCCCACCUUGAUCCAUUCUUCAAUAUGAGCAGUGGACUUGGAUAUGAAAAGAUGGAAACAGCCGUGCCCAUGCAAAUAAGCAAAAUGUGUCAACCAACCACUGUGCAUUCAGUUAGCAAUGCUGUUGAAAGAGGUCUGCUUAGUUUCAUCAGCAGUCCAGUUCUCUACAAUCAAUACCCUGGGACCCAUUCGGAGGAAUCAACUGCAUUUCCCAUUUGCCUUUUAAUGUCCCUUUUAUUUUUAUCACAACAGGGCAAUAUUUUUUAUGACUGUGUUUUUCCCUUAUGUUCUGAGAAACCUGCUUUAUACAAAUCAGCUCAUUUUUUACUUGUUUGUAGUUAAAUAAAGUCACAAAAA